rnacentral:lncRNA from 1 species
UUGGUCGUGCGGCAGGGCGCUUGGAACUCAGCUUUGCUGUUUUUACCGGCGAUGCCACCUAAGACGAGUAGAGGCGAUGUGACUAGAGUCCAUAUAAGGACGAUCACGACAAUGGUUCCAAAGGGUAGUGCUGCGGUUGCAGUGUAGGUGAUGGCUACGGUGUUGAGGAAGCAGAAGGUUAGGAGUAAAGGACCGUGGGUGCUGUUUUUUAUGCUAAGGUAAAAGACUUCUUUUAUCUUCUAAAAAGUUGUCGUCAGCAUCAUCGUUCUCUGGUCUGGUGGUGUUAUUUUUAGUUAGAACAACAUGUAUACUGUGUCUUUCAGGCCGAAAUGGGGUGUACUGAGACCGAGUUGGGGGAUGAUGGUAGCGCUUGGAUAACAAAGUCUCAUAAUUUUCUGUUUCAAGUAAAGCGUUGUCCUUGGUAUCUUGUAAGUUACAUUCUCAAAUACCUUCAUUUUUUUUUUUGCUAUGUCUUGCCUGCCCCUCAUGACUUGAAGCCUACCUCUUUCUCUCGCUCGCUCAAUCAACUAUUUAGGAAGACAGUACUGGUGUGGUGAAAGUAGUGGGAGCUGAAGCUGCUGAUGACUUUCUUGAUACUCUGACACCGCAUUUGGAUAUGUCACUAAGUGAAAUCUUUGGUAGUAUUGUAGAACCUAAACAAGGCUCUCAGGUUACCUUUUCUCUUUCAUUUUUUUUUUGUCUUUCUCUGUUUAUUUUAGUCUUUUUCAUUGGGUUGGAACCAACAGUGUGAUUGUUUUCAUCUCUAGACGAUUUUUCGGGCUUCUCUCGAUACUGGUACCUCCUUAACUAUUAUUGGCGAGGUAAAGGAAGCCCCCAUGUGUUUAUUCUUUAUAUUGUGGAUCAUGUAAGAGUGGCUGUGCAAGCUAAUAUAAGUUGAUGUGUCUGUGUCCUUGUCUGUACUGUAGGCUGCUAGAGACGAAGCUGGUAAUCUCACGAUUCAAAACACCAAUGAACAGCCUUUUAGGAUCUUCAGUGGAGAGGGCUCGUUUGAUAAAAUGGUUGCCAACUUGAAGUCAAAUUCAGAGUAAGGACAGAGACUCAUCAUGUUUUUGUUUAUACAUGGUGAUGAUAAUCAAAUUUUCUUGUGUUAUUUUUUAUGCAGGUUUUAUUUUUUCUAUUCCAAGAUCUUUGGAACUAUUGCUUUUGCUAUAGUUGUUUUUAAAGGCGUGAGUUUCAUACGAAGGGUUUUACGUGAGAGAGCAGAUAAUGCUGAUUCAGACGACGAAGAAACGCCAUGAGGGAGUAGAAUCAGACAACAGUAGUUUAUAGGAUCAGCUUUAAAGGCUCAGGCAGAAGAAUCAGACACCAAUGAUUUAUAACUAGGAUAGAUUUUUUAUCUAUGGUAUUGGGUAGGCAAAAUGUUUAUGAAUAUUUUAACAAACCAUCGUUUCUUAUUCUGACAGAUGAACAAAUUUAAAAAAAAAUUAUAUUGUCCAAAUUAACUAUGUGAUUCUAUUACAUAGUUGAACACACGUUGAUUUAUUCUAUUUAUAGCUUUACAAAACUUGUUAAAAGGAUAUAAUUUAAUUUAAAUAAGAACAUUAUUUCAAUGUAAUAAAAGCAGACAUUUUCCCUUUGUUUGGAUCAAAUUAAUGUAAACAGCCAUUAAAUUAGUCAAUGAACAUAAAUUCACCAACUCGGACAUAUAAUGUACGAAAUAAAAACAUUUAAUUAAAAAGAAUAUCUGUUACAACUUACAAGUCAGUAAAAUGUUUAUAAAAAUAACAAAAGAAAGAGAAAAAAAAAAUACAAAAGUAAAAAAAAUUCAAACUUCCCUUGCAGAUUUUCUUCCUCAGACAUACAAACAAACAAACAGAACAUAAAAAGCAACCGUAUGAUAAAACAACUCUUAAACUCAGAUGGGGUUACCUGAAACUAAUCAUCUGAUGGUGACGAACUUGUUAGUCCCAUGUCUAGCCCAAUGGCUCUUAAGAUCAAUGGGGCUCCCAAAGUUAAACCCAUCAGAAGAAAGUUUCUCAAGAACCUUCUUAAACGCUCCUUGACUCAUCUUCCUCCCGGAGAUCCUCGCUCCACGGCGUUUAGUACUCAUCGGCAACGGGUGCAUCGAUAUGUUCGUGGUGCAACACGCAGACUGCCAACCGCCGCAUCCCCAACGGUAGCAUUGCUGAGGAGCUCCGGUGCAAGUGCAGACCGGUACAGGUAAACCGGAAAUGUCCAUGUUCACUCCGUUGAUAAUCAAGUCAACGCUUUUCUUAGCCGGUUUGACUCUUGAAACGUUAGUCUUGCUGUCGUUCUCUUCUUUCGGUUUACGAGGCUUCUUCCCCUUUGCUGUUGCGCUAGCUUUUGAGUUAGUCUUUCUCUUCUUGUUAGGCUGAACAAUCUCUUCUUCUUCUUCGCAUUUAACCGGGUUAUCCUCGGUUUGAUGAUGGUGAUGGUGAUGCAUGGACGGGGCUGAUGAAGUUUCGGGGAGAACGUUUCCGUAGUUAGGAGAGGUUGUUACAGGCAACAUGUUGAAGAACUUGUCCUUCUGUUGGUUAAUCCAGUUGUAGCUCAUGUGGAUUGGUGGCUCAGGGUGGUGGUAUGACCCGUUUUGGCCAAUCAUUAGAUUUGGAUCUCGACCGGGUAGAAACGGUUUAGUGUUCCGGUCAGCGCUUGACAUUAGCUGCAAACCGAGGUUGCCUUUGAACGUAGCAGCAGCUGGUUCGUAGUAACCCCAAUUGCGAAACCCAUCGUCAUCCAUUUUCAAAGAUCUACAAAACAUGUCAAUAUAAAAAAAAGACAAUCAGAGAUUCAAAUCCAAAUUCAGACAAAACAAAAGCCAGUUCAUGUUCCAAUUAGCCAAAAUCAAAUCAUCCUACCAUUUAUUAUAUCCAAUGUUCCAGAGAUAACACAUCAGAUGUUAAAGAUAGCAAGAAAACAAAAAUUAGAGUGGAUAUAUACAUGAAAUCCAGGGAACUUUUAUAUGAUAUUCCGACAUAAGAACAUUUUCUUGUCGGAACCAACAUGCACAGCUUCUAGAUCUGGGGAGUCCAGAGCUAGAUCUACGGAAAAUGGACAUGAAUCAAGGAGAUCCACAGCCAAAAUCUAAUGAAACAUCAAGAUAUGUACAUAUAUUGGACGGAGAUAAAAGGAUUUGAAGCAAAAGCGUUGUUGGUACAGUACAGGAAAAAAAGGUCCCAUUGUAAAUAUUCAAAACUGAGAGAAAGAGAGAGAGAGGCAUGAUAUGGAAAUGGAUUAGGAAAGAGAAAACUUACAUAUGAGAUUGGGUUAACAAACGGCUCUUUAAGGGAAUUUUUGCCCUUCUGGAGAGAGAGGAGAGAGAGAGAUUGGAGGGAGGGAGGAAAGAGAAGGAAGAGAGAGGAGAGAGAAACCUGAAGGGAAAGAUAAGAUCUGAAGAAAGGGAAAGGGUUUUUAUUUUUAUUUUUUUUGAGUGGAACAGAGAGAGAACCCUAAAAUAAUUGAAAAUCAUUUUCUAAUUUUAAAAUAUACACAAUCUAAAAUAAAUAUCUUUCCAAAAGGCUUUUUUCAUUUUUCUCUCCGCGUUGUACUUGAAAUGAAGACUUUCUUUUUAUGUUUGGUCACUGUAAGAAAGCCAUUUGAGAAGAAGACAAAACAAAAAAAAUAACAAAGCCCACUUAUUGGUCUUUUUGACAUCGUGUCAAAACCAAAUUUUUUAAAAGGCAACGAGAUCGUUCGUGAAAAGAUGAGACGAGGAACAUGAGAUUAUGAAGAAAAAAUACUAAUUCUUCAUAAAACUUUCUAUUGGUAAUUUUUUUUUUCUGUAAUAACAAAUUCUGUGUUUAGCAAACCGAACGUUUUGGGAAUGUUAAGACACAAGUGUAUCCAAUGUGAAGCUCAUAUUUUAUACAUAUAUUGCAUUGCUCAUAGUCAGAGCUUGUCCCUCGCAAAUCAUAAUAAUUCCAUUCCUGUGCGUUCUCUGAACCAGAACUUCGCUGAUUCCCCCAAAGUUAUCAAAUAGAUUUAAACAGAUGCAAAUAUUGCACAACGAUCAUGACUACCUUGAAUAAGAGAUUUGACAUUUAUUACAUACAAAAAAAAAGUCCGAAGGUAUGAUCAUCUUUUACAAUCCAUAAAAUAUAUAGAAAAGGAUACACGUAAGUAAUUUUAAUUUCCGUAGCCCAAAAUAACGAGAAGAAGAGAGAGACAGAGAAGAGAUGCUUUUUCAGGAAAUAAUCAGGCAUUAACAUUGUCAAUAUAUCUCUCUUCUUUCUAACAACCCAUCUCUUUAUCUUUUCUUUGUUCUAGCAAAAAUUCUUAAGGAGGCAGAAGAAGAAGAGAACCAUCGUAAGAAGAUAAAGACUUCUUACUCGCAUUUGAUAGACCGGUAAAUGUGACGAACGAAGAAAAGUGCAGCGCGGAAGCCGACAGUCCCGAGCAUUAAGAAGAACCCGUAGCAAAUGCAAGCCAUGUACCCGAAGAAGAACGAUGUUUGCAUGAAUCCAGACAUGUCUGAUCGUGCGUAGUAGUAGUAUAAGCAGUAGGCGUAGAUAAACAAACCGGUCGACCCACCGCAUAGGAAUGAUCUGCAAAUAAAAACAGUCUCAGGUUCUAUUGUUCAGAGAGAGAAGAAGGUAAAGACAAUGGGAAAUGGCUUAACGAACCUCCACCACCAUUGGUGAUCUUCAGCAGCGAGCUGGAAGUAAGUCAAGGCGACGGUUAUAAAAGCAGUGACAAUGAUGAGGAUGAUGAAGACAAUGAACAGGAUGCUGUAGAUGGUGUAGAUCCGGUGACCCCAGACACUAGCGAAAAUGUAGUAAAGCUCGAUGUAGAUGGCACUGAAAGGAAGAAAACCAGCCAUGGCCAUCUGAGGAACCGCGCUUCUGUACCAAGGGAGCGGCGGAAUCUCGCGGGGGUACUUGGUCGUGCGGCAGGGCGCUUGGAACUCAGCUUUGCUGUUUUUACCGGCGAUGCCACCUAAGACGAGUAGAGGCGAUGUUACUAGAGUCCAUAUAAGGACGAUCACGACAAUGGUUCCAAAGGGUAGUGCUGCGGUUGCAGUGUAGGUGAUGGCUACGGUGUUGAGGAAGCAGAAGGUUAGGAGUAAAGGACCGCAGAAGAGACAUCCAGUGAGUAACAAGUUUCUCACCUGCAGUAAUGUGAAACAAAAAAGUCGUUUAGUUUAUGUAAGAAGAUGAUUUGAGAA